rnacentral:rRNA from 1 species
UACAGAGGGUGCGAGCGUUGUCCGGAAUCACUGGGCGUAAAGGGCGCGUAGGCGGUUUCUUAAGCGUGUGGUGAAAGCCCGGAGCUCAACUCCGGGUCGGCCGUGCGAACUGGGAGACUGGAGCUUGUCAGAGGCAGGCGGAAUUCCGGGUGUAGCGGUGGAAUGCGUAGAGAUCCGGAAGAACACCGGUGGCGAAGGCGGCCUGCUGGGACAGUGCUGACGCUGAGGCGCGACAGCGUGGGGAGCAAACAGG